CACGUCUUGACUCGCGUCUCGAUCGAGCUAACCGAUCUGACGACUGACUUCUGCCUCCACAUUUCUUCACUCACUCGCUUCUCGCAGUUUGAACCAUCAUCCUUCUUGCUGCCUGGAUUCGGUAACAUCGACACACUGAUGACUGCUCUCAGAGAAGUGCAUUAAAACACUGCAAAGCUAUGUAUGUCAACCUCGUGUUCACUUCACUGCCAGCUUUGCUCCAGAUCCUCUCACUGGGGAAUGCAAAGAGACACUGCUGUUUGUGUGGAUGUUAAUGAAUGCUUGCAGUUUCCAUGUAGUUUUGGGGAAGAAUGCUACAAUGCUGAGGGCUCUUACAUCUGCAAUGCUUCAAAAAGUGCAACUACUUCUAUCUUCACCACAAGCUCCACCAGCACAACCAGCUACUUGUCUCUCCGGUUUUGAAAGGAAUCCAAAAACCUUACAGUGUGAGGGCAAGUAAACCAGGCCAUGUGAAAACAAUGUUGUGAGGUACAAAGGAGAACUAAUUUUGAAAGAGACCACAUCAAGCAGAGAAGGGGUGUCACCAACUGGCUCACACAAAAACCCACAAGACUGCAGCAUUGUGGAUCCCUCUCCAGCUUUCCCUGCAGUUUGAGACAGUGCUCUGGUCUUCUCUCAGUGGUCCUUGCUUGGUCUUUCUGCAGUCCUCCUUUUCAUCCUCCCUUCCUGCAAGACAAUUCCUGGUUAUACAAAAUAAAAAAUAAAGCAAUA